CGGCGACGGGUGAGUAACGCUGGGUAACUACCCUGUACACACGGAUAACAUACCGAAAGGUAAUGCUAAUACGGGAUAAUGUAUUUGAGAGGCAUCUCUUGAAUAUCAAAGGUGAGCCAGUACAGGAUGGACCCGCGUCUGAUUAGCUAGUUGGUAAGGUAACGGCUUACCAAGGCGACGAUCAGUAGCCGACCUGAGAGGGUGAUCGGCCACAUUGGAACUGAGACACGGUCCAA
rnacentral:rRNA from 1 species